rnacentral:rRNA from 1 species
UACGAAGGGGGCUAGCGUUGCUCGGAAUCACUGGGCGUAAAGGGUGCGUAGGCGGGUCUUUAAGUCAGGGGUGAAAUCCUGGAGCUCAACUCCAGAACUGCCUUUGAUACUGAAGAUCUUGAGUUCGGGAGAGGUGAGUGGAACUGCGAGUGUAGAGGUGAAAUUCGUAGAUAUUCGCAAGAACACCAGUGGCGAAGGCGGCCUUCUGGCUUGCAACUGACGCUGUAGCGCGAAAGCGUGGGGAGCGAACCGG